rnacentral:rRNA from 1 species
GUCGGUGACAAUACCACGUUGAAAACACCAGUUCUCGUCCAAUCACCGAAGUUAAGCAACGUUGGGCUUGCAACGUUUGUACUUUCAUGGGUGACCGGCUAAGAAUACCAGGUGUUGCGGGCU